rnacentral:rRNA from 1 species
GAGUUUGAUCCUGGCUCAGAUUGAACGCUGGCGGCAGGCCUAACACAUGCAAGUCGAGCGGUAGCACAGAGAGCUUGCUCUCGGGUGACGAGCGGCGGACGGGUGAGUAAUGUCUGGGAAACUGCCUGAUGGAGGGGGAUAACUACUGGAAACGGUAGCUAAUACCGCAUAACGUCGCAAGACCAAAGUGGGGGACCUUCGGGCCUCAUGCCAUCAGAUGUGCCCAGAUGGGAUUAGCUAGUAGGUGGGGUAACGGCUCACCUAGGCGACGAUCCCUAGCUGGUCUGAGAGGAUGACCAGCCACACUGGAACUGAGACACGGUCCAGACUCCUACGGGAGGCAGCAGCGGGGAAUAUUGCACAAUGGGCGCAAGCCUGAUGCAGCCAUGCCGCGUGUGUGAAGAAGGCCUUCGGGUUGUAAAGCACUUUCAGCGGGGAGGAAGGCGAUAAGGUUAAUAACCUUGUCGAUUGACGUUACCCGCAGAAGAAGCACCGGCUAACUCCGUGCCAGCAGCCGCGGUAAUACGGAGGGUGCAAGCGUUAAUCGGAAUUACUGGGCGUAAAGCGCACGCAGGCGGUCUGUCAAGUCGGAUGUGAAAUCCCCGGGCUCAACCUGGGAACUGCAUUCGAAACUGGCAGGCUAGAGUCUUGUAGAGGGGGGUAGAAUUCCAGGUGUAGCGGUGAAAUGCGUAGAGAUCUGGAGGAAUACCGGUGGCGAAGGCGGCCCCCUGGACAAAGACUGACGCUCAGGUGCGAAAGCGUGGGGAGCAAACAGGAUUAGAUACCCUGGUAGUCCACGCCGUAAACGAUGUCGAUUUGGAGGUUGUGCCCUUGAGGCGUGGCUUCCGGAGCUAACGCGUUAAAUCGACCGCCUGGGGAGUACGGCCGCAAGGUUAAAACUCAAAUGAAUUGACGGGGGCCCGCACAAGCGGUGGAGCAUGUGGUUUAAUUCGAUGCAACGCGAAGAACCUUACCUGGUCUUGACAUCCACAGAACUUAGCAGAGAUGCUUUGGUGCCUUCGGGAACUGUGAGACAGGUGCUGCAUGGCUGUCGUCAGCUCGUGUUGUGAAAUGUUGGGUUAAGUCCCGCAACGAGCGCAACCCUUAUCCUUUGUUGCCAGCGGUUAGGCCGGGAACUCAAAGGAGACUGCCAGUGAUAAACUGGAGGAAGGUGGGGAUGACGUCAAGUCAUCAUGGCCCUUACGACCAGGGCUACACACGUGCUACAAUGGCAUAUACAAAGAGAAGCGACCUCGCGAGAGCAAGCGGACCUCAUAAAGUAUGUCGUAGUCCGGAUUGGAGUCUGCAACUCGACUCCAUGAAGUCGGAAUCGCUAGUAAUCGUAGAUCAGAAUGCUACGGUGAAUACGUUCCCGGGCCUUGUACACACCGCCCGUCACACCAUGGGAGUGGGUUGCAAAAGAAGUAGGUAGCUUAACCUUCGGGAGGGCGCUUACCACUUUGUGAUUCAUGACUGGGGUGAAGUCGUAACAAGGUAGCCGUA